AGAGUUUGAUCCUGGCUCAGGACGAACGCUGGCGGCACGCUUAACACAUGCAAGUCGAACGAGAGAAGAGGAGCUUGCCUUUCUGAUCUAGUGGCGGACGGGUGAGUAACACGUGAGCAAUCUGCCUCUCAGAGGGGGAUACCGAUUGGAAACGAUCGUUAAUACCGCAUAACAUAAUUGAACCGCAUGAUUUGAUUAUCAAAGAUUUAUCGCUGAAAGAUGAGCUCGCGUCUGAUUAGCUAGUUGGUAAGGUAACGGCUUACCAAGGCGACGAUCAGUAGCCGGACUGAGAGGUUGAUCGGCCACAUUGGGACUGAGACACGGCCCAGACUCCUACGGGAGGCAGCAGUGGGGAAUAUUGCACAAUGGAGGAAACUCUGAUGCAGCGAUGCCGCGUGAGGGAAGAAGGUUUUAGGAUUGUAAACCUCUGUCUUCAGGGACGAAAAAAGACGGUACCUGAGGAGGAAGCUCCGGCUAACUACGUGCCAGCAGCCGCGGUAAUACGUAUGGAGCGGGCGUUGUCCGGAAUUACUGGGUGUAAAGGGAGCGUAGGCGGGAUCGCAAGUCAGAUGUGAAAACUAUGGGCUUAACCCAUAAACUGCAUUUGAAACUGCGGUUCUUGAGUGAAGUAGAGGUAAGCGGAAUUCCUAGUGUAGCGGUGAAAUGCGUAGAUAUUAGGAGGAACAUCAGUGGCGAAGGCGGCUUACUGGGCUUUAACUGACGCUGAGGCUCGAAAGCGUGGGGAGCAAACAGGAUUAGAUACCCUGGUAGUCCACGCCGUAAACGAUGAUUACUAGGUGUGGGGGGACUGACCCCUUCCGUGCCGCAGCAAACGCAAUAAGUAAUCCACCUGGGGAGUACGACCGCAAGGUUGAAACUCAAAGGAAUUGACGGGGGCCCGCACAAGCAGUGGAGUAUGUGGAUUAAUUCGAAGCAACGCGAAGAACCUUACCAGGUCUUGACAUCGUAUGCAUAGCUCAGAGAUGAGUGAAAUCUCUUCGGAGACAUAUAGACAGGUGGUGCAUGGUUGUCGUCAGCUCGUGUCGUGAGAUGUUGGGUUAAGUCCCGCAACGAGCGCAACCCUUACUGUUAGUUGCUACGCAAGAGCACUCUAGCAGGACUGCCGUUGACAAAACGGAGGAAGGUGGGGAUGACGUCAAAUCAUCAUGCCCCUUAUGACCUGGGCCUCACACGUACUACAAUGGCUGUCAACAGAGGGAAGCAAAGCCGCGAGGUGGAGCGAACCCCUAAAAGCAGUCUUAGUUCGGAUUGUAGGCUGCAACCCGCCUACAUGAAGUCGGAAUUGCUAGUAAUCGCAGAUCAGCAUGCUGCGGUGAAUACGUUCCCGGGCCUUGUACACACCGCCCGUCACGCCAUGGGAGUCGGUAACACCCGAAGCCUGUAGUCUAACCGCAAGGAGGACGCAGUCGAAGGUGGGAUUGAUGACUGGGGUGAAGUCGUAACAAGGUA
rnacentral:rRNA from 1 species